AUUUUCUUUGACUGAUGUGUAGUGCAACCAACUUAUCUUGUUGAUUGAUAAAGUACCAUGGUUGAUUGGUGGAGAAGGUGUGCAGACAGAAUUGAGUUUACCAAAUGUAGAAAAAACAAUUCGCUCAAUUUCAGAGCUUAGAGAAGAUGAAGCUAAAGAUCGCUUGCAAGAUGCUAUUCAAGAAAAGUUUGCUGUUUUUGGGGAUAAAGAUCAUCAAGCGAUUGAUAUUCUUCUGGCUGAGAUUGAUAUAUAUGAACUUUUUUCUUUCAAACAUUGCAAAGGGAGGAGAGUUAAGCUGGCUCUUUGUGAAGUGUUUCAGGAACUAAAGAGAAAGAGCACAGCAGCUGCCGCACUCAAGUCACUUCAACAUAAAAUUGAGAGAUAUAAACCUAUUAUUUAUUGUUAAUGGCUUCAUGCCAAGUAUGAUUACAUCUAUGGAACCAUGGAGAAUUUGUUAGAUGCUUUAGUUCUAAUGGUUAUUUUGCAUUACUUUUGCUUUGAAAUAACAACUGUUCCAAAAUAAAUUGUUGUAUAUUAUAUCAUUGUGUGUGCAUUUUUUAAAUAAAGAGCUACAACUUUUAGUGUUUCAGGAACUAAAGAGAAAGAGCACAGCAGCUGCCGCACUCAAGUCACUUCAACAUAAAAUUGAGAGAUACAAGAUAGAGUUGAACAACUCGUAUAAGAAUACUCGAGUAUACUUAUAACUUGUUCAUGUUGCACAUAACUGAUUACUUAUAAAUUGAGAUUAUAUUUGUAUCGGAUGAAAUAUAUUUUGAUUAAGUUUGCUAGGUAAUUUUUGUCUUUGUAAUAUGUAAAUUUGGUUUAUUUUUUGAUUAUUGACUGUUGUUGGUGUAAUA